rnacentral:rRNA from 1 species
AGAGUUUGAUCCUGGCUCAGGAUGAACGCUAGCUACAGGCUUAACACAUGCAAGUCGAGGGGCAGCGGGAUUGAAGCUUGCUUCAAUUGCCGGCGACCGGCGCACGGGUGAGUAACGCGUAUCCAACCUUCCGUACACUCAGGGAUAGCCUUUCGAAAGAAAGAUUAAUACCUGAUGGUAUGAUGAAAUUGCAUGAUAGCAUCAUUAAAGAUUUAUCGGUGUACGAUGGGGAUGCGUUCCAUUAGGUAGUAAGGCGGGGUAACGGCCCACCUAGCCUACGAUGGAUAGGGGGUUCUGAGAGGAAGGUCCCCCACAUUGGAACUGAGACACGGUCCAAACUCCUACGGGAGGCA